UAGGUUAAUAAUUUUUAUUUAUGAUAACCGGCAACAAAACAAUAAAGAUUAACCAACGAAACGUACAGCUUUGUAGGGCUAAAAGCUUAUUUCCACCCCGUGUGGACUGGCUCUGGUUCACACCUCAGCACACACCUCGGCACCGCCGACCACCCCGUGUGCCCCCCCAUUUUUUUUUGAGGCUGCUUCUCGGGCUUCCUACGUUGUGGCCGCGAGCCCCGAUGUCAUCGCCUUUCCUCCUUCGCUGCUUCCGCCUGCUUCCAUGGCAGGCUUUUGUCUCCUGACAUUAUUUCGGCCCAAGCCCAGGAUGUCCUCCACUCCUGGCUUUCCUCCCAGGCCCAGGAUCCUUGCUCCUCCUGAGCACGCUGCUUGGUCCUGGGGUGGUGGAAUCUUCUGUAACGAACGUCGUUGUAAUGAUGGUUGGACCAAGAUGCAGCGUGGGGUAGGUUAAUCAUUUUUAUUUAUAAUAACUGGCAACAAAACAAUAAAGAGUAACCAACGAAACGUACAGCUUUGUAGGGCUAAAAGCUACAAUACAAAAUCAAGAUCCCACAAACAAAAGGUGGGAAAAGGCUGCCUAAAUAUGAUCCCCAAUCAGAGACAACGAUAGACAGCUGCCUCUGAUUGGGAGCCAUACCAGGCCAACAUAGAAAUACAAAAAACUAGAGUACCCACCCUAGUCACACCCUGACCUAACCAAAAUAGAGAAUAAAAAGGCUCUCUAAGGUCAGGGCGUGACAGAUGAAUUCCACAUGUCGAUUUUACAUGGUAUAUAUUGUAUAUCCUACGCUGUAUCAUUUGUGGAAUUAAUCCAUUUAGCUGGUAGAAAACGUGCAAAAAGUAAACACCAAUCCAGGUUCAGAAUUUAAUGUUUGCUGUUUCUGCUCCUCUAAACAAUAAGUAGUGUGACUCAGUCAUGCAAGUUACCCGCUUAGCUAAUUCCGGAUGUCCAUUAAACCUUGUUUUUCUGUUUUUGUGGUGUGGUUAGACCUACUAAUCUCUCUGGAAACCUCAAUGUGGCAUGUGCAUCCCCUGCUACUCCUGAAAACCUGACCCUAAGCAACACAGUGACUAGGGUCUGGUUGCAAUGAGAAACUUUGUCACUUCCUAUGUCGAUAAGCGAAAAAAACUUUGCCGGGGACUCCCAACAGAUUACGAGGCAGACAUGCCUGAACGUCGCGAUUCAAAACCAAAGUUUGCAAAAAAAAAUAUUUGCAGUGGUUUUAGUUAAGGUAGUUAACACAAACUAGCCACUUGUGAAAUGCACUCAUGCACCAUCUUGCUAGCUACUGUUUUGUAUUUUAUUAAAGCGGAUAAAGUAGUGACGUAGGCAAAAAGAGUCCAUCAUUGAAACCAGACCCUAGUCGCUGUAUUGUUGUGGGGAGAGGUGCUCUGUUCUGGCAGCCAGUCAACUAGCAUAACAGUAACCUUGGAGAGAAAUUGUUUUGGGUGGUGGGGGAGGGAGGCAAUUGCCUGGAUAACAGCUUGCGAGCCCCUGCCUGCGCAGCCCUGAUGCACCUGUUGUUUGUCCAACAGCAGCAAUAAUCAGCUGAAUCUACUUCACGAUCCCUCCGCACCUGGUUUCCUGCAACCCGCCCGAGCUUCCCCUGGCCUGCACUCCAUCUUCCCC
rnacentral:lncRNA from 1 species